rnacentral:snRNA from 1 species
GCGUGUCACCGAAAGCGU